UUGCCCUGGGCAGCUGCCCAGGGCAAGAAAAUGAUUUUUUUUUAAUAUGUUUAAUAUUUUAAUUUUUUUGGCCACGUAUCAGCGCCCCACCCCUUUUAUUUCUCGGUUUUCUCCCGACUCCCCCUGUCCCCCAAAUCCCAAUAUUUCGAAACGAAGCGCAGAGAAUAGAAAAGGGGCCAAAAAAAAGCUAGGGCUUCGAGCCUUCGAGUCUCCGACGACCGCCCCCACUCUCCGAGACUCCGACGACCGCAAAUCCCCUCUCCGAGACUCCGUCGGCGACCGCAAAUCCCCUCUCCGAGAAGGCUUCGACAGUUCGACGAUCGCAAAUCCCCUCUCCGAAGACUCCGUCGACGACCGCGGACCGCCCCCACUCUCCGAGACUCCGACAGUCCGACGACCGCCCCCAGUCGCCUCCCAGAGCAAGCCCUCAACCAGUCGACGCCGAUCCCAAGCUCUCCGACGAGUGACGACGACCGCCCUGAGUCCACGACCAAGUCCUCGCCGGAAUCGACCUCCUCCUCGCCUCCCGGACUCAACAUUGAGAAGUACGUUCUUGCAAGCCAUUUGUGCGGGCCCUGCGGGGGACUAUGGGGUAAAAUUUUGAGUAUGCAAGGCAGAGGUUUCAACAAUACUGGUUGAAGAAGUUUGAUGCCCUGGAUUGCACAACGUUUUAGGCUCGACCUCGACUGAAUUUUCGCCCAGGGCAAACAAAAUUCCUGGCUACGCCACUGUC